AGAGUUUGAUCAUGGCUCAGAGCGAACGCUGGCGGCAGGCCUAAACAUGCAAGUCGAACGGAUCCUUCGGGAUUAGUGGCGGACGGGUGAGUAACACGUGGGAACGUGCCUUUUGGUUCGGAACAACUCAGGGAAACUUGAGCUAAUACCGAAUGUGCCCUUCGGGGGAAAGAUUUAUCGCCAUUAGAGCGGCCCGCGUCUGAUUAGCUUGUUGGUGAGGUAAAAGGCUCACCAAGGCGACGAUCAGUAGCUGGUCUGAGAGGAUGAUCAGCCACACUGGGACUGAAACACGGCCCAGACUCCUACGGGAGGCAGCAGUUAGGAAUCUUGCGCAAUGGGGGAAACCCUGACGCAGCCAUGCCGCGUGAAUGAUGAAGGUCUUAGGAUUGUAAAAUUCUUUCAGCGGGGACGAUAAUGACGGUACCCGCAGAAGAAGCCCCGGCUAACUUCGUG
rnacentral:rRNA from 1 species